GCCUGCGUCGGCUGAAUUUCGACAAACAAACACAGCACACAGCACAGACUCACACAUACAAAUACACAUACAAGCGCAUGCACACAAAACAGCGAUCUUUGUCCCCGCUCAGAUCGAUUUCACUCAGCAACUCUGUACCUCCACUGUGGCAUGUUAGGAGUCACAAUGGCCUUCGACACCAGCCAUCGAACUUUGGACACUGACUGACCACAAUGGGCCUUUCUUCGCCUCAGAGCCUCUGCUAUUCUUCUGCCUGAUCUCUCAGACAAAGCAGUGUCACAGAAGUAUCAAUUGAGCUUGAACAAUCGCUCACAAAGGAGGCACUGACUUGGUGUUUCCAGCCCUCUUGCCAACUGUACCACAUUUGUGUGGUGUGAAGUCAUGUGGUGUGAGAGUGACUGGCCAUAAUGGAAGGGUGGAACAGUGGAUCACUGCGUUUUUCACAGAGGUCGGACAGCUUUCUCAGGACAAAUGAGCAGAUUGCAGUGUUUGUACUUCUGCUCCAUUUACCACAUAUCAUUGACUGUGUCCUGGCUGGCAGGCAGGAGGCCAAAUGGGUGGAGGGGACAGGUACUAAGUUAAUAAAAAUAAACUAAAAGACAGGAUUUACUCAAAAGCUGCAUCCUUUACCCAGUAUUGUGGUUUUGAAGUUUUUAAUCUCCUGCAGAGUGUGUGUUUGACACAGAUCCCUGCUUUUAGAGUUUCAUGAUAAUCAUCCUUCUCUUCCUCCAGCCUUUCUUGCCCAUCUUAAGCAUUGUCAUUGUGAUUAAAUAUGUUAUAAUUUCAG